ACUGCAAGGAAGAACUCCACAACAGGAAAUAGGUUCUAAGUAUAUUUGUACCCAGUACCAUUGAGAGUAUCUUCACAACUGUGGCUUUACACAGCUUGAGUCACACGACCAACACUGACAACACAACAGCACUGAAUGUUACAGAUCAGGACUGAACAUCAAAUGAGGGAUACAAGAGCUGGCAGUCUUAUUUCCCAUGUCUUUGGAGAAGACAAAGAUCCUUCUGCACAGAGCUGCAAAGAGCAAGACUCUGCUCCUUCCUGUGGCAGUGAUUCUUCUGGUACCUGUGAAUAAACCUGACUCGACAGAUAAAUAUCAGCUGCAGAGAAAUGUGAACAGAAAAAGAGACUUCUUUCCUCCCAAUCAAUUUAGAGACUUCUGACCGCAGUCAGCAUAAUUUUCUCGGAUGUAAAAGAGUUUUUCAAGGUGA